CUUGAAAAUUACAGAAUUCCAUGCAGAUUUUACAGCCUCUGUAGGUAAGCUUUCACAAGGUGUUUUUCUGCACUUGUCCCCCCUCCUUGCCCCGAUCGCUCUGCCCCUCUCUUGGGGGGGGUUCCUGCUUCUGUUUAUGCCCUGGUGGGCCACACCACACUCCCACAAGAUGAACAUUAUACAAAAGAAAACUCAGUGGAAGGUUCCUUCUUUAAACAGAAAGCACUCUCUUCAUCUGCCAAAUGAAGUGAGAAGGGUAGGAAAAUUAGAUUUUAUUGAAAAAAUAUAUUUAAAACUGAUGUUUUUUCAGUUCUGUCUUAGGGCUAGUUAGCAGUGUUAUGAGACACAAACAGGAAGGAGUGAGGUGGAAAGGUAUGGAAGGUACUGGGCAUGGCAGCUGAAGCUUGCAACCCCAGCGCUGUGGGAGGCCAGGGUGGGACAACUGCUUGAGGUCAGGAGUUUGAGAACAGCCCGGGCAACACAGCAAGACCCCAUCUCCACAGCAAAUUAAAAAAAAAAAAAUUAGCCACAUGUGGUGGCACGUGCCUGUGGUCCCAGCUACUUGGGAGACUGAGGCAGGAGGAUUGCUUGACCCCAGGAGUUUGAGACCAGUCUGGGCAACAUAGCAAGACCCCGUCUCUACCACAAAAGAAAAGAAAAAGAUGGAAGGGGAAAAGAGAAGAGUUAAAAAUAAAGCAGAGAAGAAGAGCAGUGAGAAAGGUGAAGGAAGGGAGGAAAGGAAGGAAACGGGAGGGAGGGAAGGAAAGGGAGGAAGGGAGGGAGGGAGGAAGGAAGGGAGGGAGGGAAGGAGAGAGGAAGGGAGGGAGGUUGGUCGGUCCUAGACCAAUCAGAGUUUGCAUUUCAUUUCAGCAACUUCCCUGGGAGAGGGAAAGAUUUGUGCCCAUGUGAUCAAGUGUGAGAAGCUCACUAAGCCCUAACUUAUUUCUGAGUCACCAUUCAAAGACAUUGAUUUUUUCGACUUUUGAUUUCCAACUUCAAAACAAAACAAAGGGACUCAAGAAAACUUUUGAAGGUGAUGUGUAUGUUUAUUACUCUUGUGCUGAUGGUAGCAGUAGUGUAUACUUAAGUCCCAACUCACCAAAUUACAUUAUGUGCAGUUUUUAGUAUAUCAAUUACACCUUACUGAAGCUGGAAAGAAAUGAUAAUAAAAAGUUUUUGAGUUCUUAUAAUUUGACAGCAAACUGAGAUUUUACUCUUAUAACUUGUGAUCCACUGAUUCCUUCAGCUAGCAUUUGCUGACAUUUACCAUUUCCUGAGUCUUGUUGAUGAAUACUAGAGAAGGAUGUUGAAGAGCACUAAAUAGGUAACCUCAAGCAGUGACGUUAUAUCUGAAAAAAGUGACUGAGGUUCACUUUUAAGUAGGCAGCGUGCUUUGAGGCCUGAAAGGGCUCGGGUUGAAUGGGCCCUGCCAGCCAUGGAUCCUUAUGUAGAGGCUGGGCAAAAAAAUGCUCCAUUUUCCCCCUUUCACCAAGAAUUGAAAUAGCCCCUUUUCCUGCUCGUUUGGCCGAGUAGAAGGGAAAGCCUUUGAGGCUAUUCAUGUUUUCACUGCCUGGUUUUCUGGGUCAGGAUUAGGUCAUGACCGUUUCAUGUUUGUUCAUUUGGCCUUGGGCCCCUGGGGCAGGUAGGGUCUGGCCAGGGGAAAGGUUCUUUUCCAGAUUUUUUUUUUUUUUUUUUUUUUUUUGAGACGGAGUCUCGCUCUGUGGCCCAGGCUGGAGUGCAGUGGCAUGAUCUCAGCUCACUGCAACCUCCGCCUCCCAGGUUCAAGUGAUUCUCCUGCCUCAGCCUUCUGAGUAGCUGGGAUCACAGGUGCCCGCCACCACACCCGGCUAAUUUUUAUAUUUUUAGUAGAGACGGGGUUUCACCAUGUUGGUCAGGCUAGUCUCAAACUCCUGACCUCAGGUGAUCCGCCCGCCUUGGCCUCCCAAAGUGCAGGCAUGAGCCACCGCGCCCAGCCCUUUUCCAGAUUCCUGUAGCCAGCAAAGACCAGCACCAAACAUUUGUUGGGGUAAUGGAUGGGUGGAUGCAAAUGAAUGUUUGCAUUUGAAUGAAAUGACUGAGAACAAAUCUUUGCCUGCUUUCAAGUUGCUGAGCGUCCCUCUACUGCCUAAGAUGAGGGGUUUUUCUAUUUGUAUGUUAUUCCUCGCCUGUCAUAACAACAGUGUUUUUGGACAAUGGUGAAAAGGAGCUCCCUCUUUGAUUUUUGUAGAUGGCAGUUGAAUUCCUGCAUGAACUGAAUGUUCCAUUUUUCAAAGUUGGAUCUGGAGACACUAAUAAUUUUCCUUAUCUGGAAAAGACAGCCAAAAAAGGUCGCCCAAUGGUUAUCUCCAGCGGGAUGCAGUCAAUGGACACCAUGAAGCAAGUUUAUCAGAUUGUGAAGCCCCUCAACCCCAACUUCUGCUUCUUGCAGUGUACCAGCGCAUACCCGCUCCAGCCUGAGGACGUCAACCUGCGGGUCAUCUCGGAAUAUCAGAAGCUCUUUCCUGACAUUCCCAUAGGGUAUUCUGGGCAUGAAACAGGCAUAGCGAUAUCUGUGGCCGCAGUGGCUCUGGGGGCCAAGGUGUUGGAACGUCACAUAACUUUGGACAAGACCUGGAAGGGGAGUGACCACUCGGCCUCGCUGGAGCCUGGAGAACUGGCCGAGCUGGUGCGGUCAGUGCGUCUUGUGGAGCGUGCCCUGGGCUCCCCAACCAAGCAGCUGCUGCCCUGUGAGAUGGCCUGCAAUGAGAAGCUGGGCAAGUCUGUGGUGGCCAAAGUGAAAAUUCCGGAAGGCACCAUUCUAACAAUGGACAUGCUCACCGUGAAGGUGGGUGAGCCCAAAGGCUAUCCUCCUGAAGACAUCUUUAAUCUAGUGGGCAAGAAGGUCCUGGUCACUGUUGAAGAGGAUGACACCAUCAUGGAAGAAUUGGUAGAUAAUCAUGGCAAAAAAAUCAAGUCUUAAAAAUAAAGUGCCAUUCUCUG
rnacentral:sRNA from 1 species